UCCCCCCCCCCACACACACACACAUUGAGCCCGAUGCCCCUUGACAGUAAACAACAUGGAAGAUGAGGGUAGAAGAAGGCUUCAGCUCAGUGUCAGACACUCGGGUACUGGGCAGUGAUUGGGAAGAGUGGCCUAGCUGCAGCCCAGCUGUUGAGGUCAGCUUCCCUGCUCCAGAGCUGCAGCAGUGCAUGCAGCCAGUGGCCGGGAAGUGUGGUGCUUAGCAGGCCCUGAAACAGACCGCAAGUGUGAGCACAGCAGCUUCCAUACACGAAUGGACACUGUCCUGUUCAGCACUGUGCUGUUCCCAUUUCAUGACAGGAUCACCAAGGCUCGAGGCUUCUGUUUUCGAGACUGCCUUUUCUAUAUUGCAUUGGCUGGCCUAGAACUCCUGGACUCAGGAGAUCUCUCCCCUUAGCUUCCUGAGUAACCUGGUCCUGUAUUUGAAUAAUUAAAAGUCUGAUUUUCCUUUUCUUUUCUAUUUGAGACAGCGUCUUACUAUGCAGAGGUCUUACUGCUUCUGCCUCCUGAGUGCUGGAAUUAGAGAUUAACACUCAUCAAGUCCAUUUGAUGCUUCUUGUGUAUGCAUGGGUGUGUGCCUGUUUACUGGAGCAUAGCCCAGGGCCCAUGACCUACCUUCUCUCAGUGGCUAUCAGCUGCCAGUGGCAUGCACGUAAGCUAUUGAUGGGACUUCUUGAGCAUCCCUCCCCAUCUUGUGCAAAUAUGUGCAUGUAAUCCUACCCAUGUAAGUUCAUGUGUGCAACUGUUUUAUCAUGUCUGUCAAAGCCCUUCUCAUAGCAGACAUCCACUGUUCCCUGUGUUCUUAGCCUUUCUGACCCCUCUUCUGUAAUGGGCUCUGAUUCUUGUUGGGGAGGGAGUGUGAUACAGAUACAUUUAGAGCCGAGCACACCACAAUCUCUCAUUUUCUGUGCACUGACCAUUUGUGAACCUCUGUAUUAUUUGCUGUCUACUGCAAAAAGAAUCUUCACUGAUGAUGGCUGAGAAAUGCACCAGUCUUUUGGUAUAAAGAAGAAUUUAGGGGGAAGUUUAUUACUACAUCCAUUUAGCAGAAUAACAAUAGUACUGGGUUCUUUUCUAGGGCCCAUGACCUAGCCAGACAUGAGAUUUUGGCCCAGUUAACUGUACCAGACAUAGGUUCCAUCAUCUUACAGAGCAGACUUUAAAUCCAGUUCCUUCCUGGCAACCAAUCACGAAUGAAUCUUAUGCAGCUUAAAUGGACCCUGAAGAAAUCAGCAGCACUGGGGCUGGGGUUCUGCUGGCUCAGUGGUGGAGCAUUAGCCUCGCACGCACAGGCUCUGGAUUUGGUUCCCAGUCUCUACCUUCAUCCCAUACACACAGACAAUAACAAUAAAGCACAUAGCAGUAUAUGGCAGUAUUAAUUCUCUCAUAUUUAUUUAAUUGUGGAUGGCAGUAGCCUGUAAUGUUUGUAUAUGUAGAGGACACCACAGGUCAGCAAUUUGAAAUUAGCCCGUAUCUGGCUCUGGGCUUUUUAUUUGAUAGUGACUAGUACCUGGGGGAGGGGCAGUUUCUCCCCCCAUUAUAUGGGACUCCAUUUUAAACCCUUUAUAUAUGUGUAUGUGUGUACUCGGGGAAGCUUCUCACACAGGCCUCUGCAUUUCAGCCUUUAGUGUUCUUCUUUCUCGCUUUCUCUCCUGCACCUCACCCUCCCAGCCCCACAGCCCCACACAGCGCCUGUCCCUUCCUGUGCAUCUUUUUCCAUAAUUGUGAUAAAAGUUAUUUAAAAAUAAGAUACCAAUUUAAUAAACAUCUGUGAUUAGUCAAUAAAUAAACCAGGAAUAAUAGCCAAGAGUUAUAAAACAGAGCCAGCAAGAAGCCUCAGGAGCUAAAGAUGCUUGCUGCCAAACCCGAGGACCUGAGUGUGAUCUUAUCCUUGAGACCCACAAAAUAGAAGGAGAGAACCCACUCCCACAAGCUGUCCUCUGAUCUGCACAUAUGUACUGUAUGUAGCAGGUGCACUUCUGUAGGAGCUCACACAUGUGCAUACAGGUACACAUACACACUAAUAAUAAAAGUGUAAAGAUAAAAGGACAAAAUGCAUUUUCCACUUAGAAACACUUAAUGAUGUUCCUUACAUGGCUAUGUUGACGAUGAUGAUAUUCGUACAAGCAUACAUAUGUUAGAGUUUAAAAACUUAAGGGAGCCGGGCAUGGUGGCGCACGCCUUUAAUCCCAGCACUUGGGAGGCAGAGGCAGGCGGAUUUCUGAGUUCGAGGCCAGCCUGGUCUAAAAAGUGAGUUCCAGGACAGCCAGGGAGACACAGAGAAACCCUGUCUCGAAAAACCAAAAACCAAAAACCAAAAAAAAAAAAAAAAAAAAAAAAAAAAAAAACAAAAAACUUAAGGGAAUGUCAAAGCAAAUUAAAUGGAAAACUGUAUUUUACAUGGGUGGAUUGAAGGUCAAUGAUGGGGGUUCAAGAGAAAAACUAAAAUGAAUUAUUGGGAGCAGGGUGUUUAUUAGAAGAGUUAUUAACAACACAGACAACAGCAUGGUGGGAGCUCUAGAGACAGUUCAGGCCACAGCACCAGAGACAGACAACUUGGCAGAGCCUCUCAAGAGAGGAAAUCAGGACCGGUGGGGCAGAAAUGGGGUCUCUUUUUUAUGUUUUUUUUUUCCUCACUGUGUAACCUUGGCUGGUCUAGAACUCACAUGCUGACCAGACUGGCCUUUAACCAACAGCAUAUGCCAUUAUGCCCGACAGAGAUUUAUUUAUUUUAUGUAUAUGAAUAUUUGCCUGUGCACCAGUAUAUCUGUGCACCAGGUACCUGUGUGGUUUCUUCGGAGAGGAUGUUGGAUCUCCUGGAACUAGAGUUCUUGAUUAAUGUAAGCCAUCAUGUGGUGCUGGAAACUGAGCCUGUGUCUCUCCAAGAGUGUUAAGUGCUGUUAGCUGCUGAGUCAGCACUCUCCUCUUACUCCUUUCAAAGGAUAAACACAGUUUCACAGAAUAAGCCUGAAGCCAGGUUUUCUGAGUCCCAGGAAGGAGGCUAGGAAGCAGAGCUAGAUGUGUGGCCACCAACACUCCUUUUGAGGUAAACUCACUUCCCCAGGUAAGAAACUUGGCACCUGGCAGUCUGUUAGCUAGAGACUCAGAGUCUCCAGGUAUCUGUGGGUGUGGACUGCUGCAGGCAUUGUGGCCUGAGUAGCAGCUGAUUCUAACAUAUUCUCAUUGUUCACUUACUAACACUGUGUGUCAAUGAUGAUGCAGAUCAUGAUGUUCAUGACAAAUGUAUGUACCUUAGAGUUAGAAAAAGUAAGGAAGAAUUUAAGCAAAUUAAAUAGAAAAACAAUGUAAUUACAUAGAUAGCUGCAGUGGUUAUAGUGGUUAAUUUGUUUCGUUUUGUUUUGCUUUGAGAUAAGGCCUUUCACUGUAUGUAAAACAAAUUCUAAAUGACUGGGACUGAAAGGGAUUGGUAGCAGCUGUACUAGACUCCAGUCUGCAGUUCUUAUUUAUUUAAUGUGUUUGUGUGCUCUAUCUGCAUACCCGUGCAUGCUGUUAGAGGGCGUCAGAUCCCAAUACAGAUGGUUGUGAGCCACCAUGUGGUUGCUGGGAAUUGAACUCAGAACCUCUGGAAGAGCAGCCAUCUCUCUUCUCCUAAAAUACAAUUUUUAUUGGUCAGUUAACAGGUGGUCUUUGAAUUCUGUGCUCAUCAAAAGGAAUUUUGGGCAUAGUUAGACUUAUUUACAGUAGUAGAAAUUGCAGGAAUAAACAUUUUUGCAAGUAGACAUUUUGCUGGGAGCAAUAAAGGAACUUGGUCAUUUAAUUUUGUUACACAUAUAAGAGUACAAAGAGCCGGAUGUGGUGGCACAUGCCUUGACAGCACUUGGGAGGCAGAGGCAGGCAUAGGGUGAAUUCCAGGACAGCCAGAGCUACACAGAAAAAAAACUUAAAAAAAAAAGUAUAAAAUAUAUAUUUGUAUCGCUUCCUCCUGACUCACUUUGCUCCUGUUCAUGGCUAUAGGCUGCUUUGCUGUGCUGUCUUCUUUCUGUUAUGAUGACCACCACACCUGAAACCAUGAGCCAAAGUAAAUAUGUCCUUUCUUAAGUUUGGUCAGGUAUUUGGUUUCAGGUAUGAAAAGUCGAAUAGAGAAAAAUGGUCCCAGAGAAGAGGAGUUUUCCCUAUGACUACAUGACCAUAUGGUUCAAGAAGUCUUUGACACUGGUUUAUGGGAGAGUUAGGAAAACUUUGGAGAUGCAGGCUAGAGAAGUCCAAUGCUGUAACUUAAUUGGAGAUGCCCUCCCUCCUUUUAAAGAUUUAUUUUUAUUUCUGGGUGAGUGCCUCAGAUGCCAAGAGAGGGUGUUAAAGCUCGGAUAUUGGAGUUACAAGCGGUUGUGAACUGCCGGCAGCAGUGCUAGGAACCAAAUUCAUGUCCUUGUAUGGCAUGAGGUGCUCUUAACUACUAAUCUACGUCUGCAGCUUAAUGGGAGCCUCUUUUUGGUAGUUUAGGGGCAGAAUGGUGAUAGGGAUGCAGAAGGUAAUUCUGCCUGCGAGAUUUCAGGUACAAAUGAGAACUGUGUGUGGGAACAGGGCUAGAGAGCAUUUAUUUUUAUUGUGUAAGGGCUGCUGAAAGAUGAGCGUACAGGUGAUGGUCUAAUUCAAGUUAGCUCAUCAUUUAGACUGCCUCGUGGGUAUUGUAUUGUUGCUGCUUUUAGCUAGUUCUAUAGUAAGACAUGUGAUCAAAGAGCAGAGCAAACGGUUUUGAAAAACUCAAAGAUUACUUAAUGGAGGUUGUUAACGUGGGGCUGAGGAAAGUGGUCACCGAAGAGAUUGGGGCCAUUAAAAAGAAGUUAAGUGCUUUGUGCCAGGACAGUCGGAAAGAUGUCUAACAGGUAUUUCAGGGCUUGGCUGAAUUCCCCUCCUACAGUAAAUUCAAAGCUGUGAGGGGUGCAACUCACUUGGAACAGUUUGCUUUGGAAAAAGAGCUCUUGGGCUCCCUGCUUGCUCAUAGCCAUCAAAGAAGUGUUUGUUUAUGUUAAGCCAUCCAGGUUGCUGCCCCUGCACACCAAGGGCUGCCACUGUGCUCCAGGGGCUGUAGCUGUGCUCCAAGGGCUGUGGCUACUUCUUAGAGGCUGACCCUGUGUACAUGUUGCUGAUUUUGCAGGUAUUUAGAAUUCGGUGGUUGUAGGAUUGUGGGAACUUUAUCCAUAUUUCAAAGAAAGCUGUAGGAAGCCAAGGUACUGUGUGGCAAGGUUGGAAUGGCUUGUAGUUAUGCUAGAAACGAGAAUAAUUUUGAUGUAGAACAAAGGAACACACAAAUAAAGUGAAAAUAGCUCAGCAAGGGAAUUAAUUCUUUUUACAAAAAGGAUACAUCAAGACCCAAACCCAGAUAAAGUACACCAGGGACAGCAAGGCUCCUGUCCUUUAUCUCUGCUGAGGUGGUGAUGCAUCCAGUUGAUGGGAGCUCAUGACCCCAUCAGUGGGCGUUGGCUGAUUGGUGUAAAUGGAGAAGGGGAAUGCUCAGGAAAUACUGAGUCUUCGGUGAAGAAAAAGAAAACCUUUCUCCCAGGUAGGUAGUCCCCAGGAGGGCAGUGUAUGAGGUUGUGAGGGUGUUAUCAAAGACACAGAGAGGCCCCUAGGAUGUUAGAGGUGCCAGCAGGGUGGAUCAUCUGCAGAAGAAAGCUGUGUAUAGCAACAGAGAUAAAGCCCAGGAAGGAGGCCAUGUGGGCUGCAAACCUCAAGGAGCUGCCCAUACCCACUGGACCUCUCAUCAAGAUUCCCUGUGCCCAGGCUGACCUUGAACUUGAUAUGCAAUCCAGGAAUGACCUAGAACUGCUGCUGCUCUCACUCCUGCCUUCUCCUCCCAGGUGUUGGGGUUACAGGCAUACAGUGCCAUGGCUGGCUUUUCAUUCUAACUUUAUUCUUUUUUUUUUUCCUUUUUUUUUUUUUUUUCCGGAGCUGAGGACCGAACCCAGGGCCUUGGGCUUGCUAGGCAAGCGCUCUACCACUGAGCAAAAUCCCCAACCCCUUAACUUUAUUCUUUUUCAAUGAUGAGUGACAUCAUGAACUUUAGAGUAUAUUCGUCACCAAGAGGGAGUAUGAGUGUGCACAUGUGUGCUGUUGUCAUGUCUUAUUUAGGUCUUUUGUGCAUUAAAUAUUUAAAUCUUUUGAUUGUUUUUGGCAUUGUUUGUAUGUAUAUUUGCACAUGUAUAUAUACGCGUGUGGAGGCCAGAGACAACCUCAGUGAUGUUCCUCGGGUGCCAUUGUUGUAGUUUGUUUUGAGUUGUAAUUUCUUUCUGGUCUGGUACUCAGUGAGUAACUAGGCUGGCUGGCAAUCAAGCCCCAGGGAUCCACCCAUCUCCACCACCUAUCCAGCACUGGGAUUAUGAGUAUGCAGUUGUGUGUGUGUGGUGUGCGUGCGUGCAUGUGUGUGUGGUGUGUAUGUGUGCAUGUGUGUGUGUGCAUGUGUGCAUAUGUGUGUGGUGUGUGUGUGUGCAUGUGUGUGUGUUGUGUAUGUGUGUGUGUGCAUGUGUGUAUGUGUGUGCAUGUGUGUAUGUGUGUGCAUGUGUGUGUGUUGUGUAUGUGUGUGUGCAUGCGUGUAUGUGUGCAUGUGUGUGUGUUGUGUGUGCAUGUUGGCUGGCACCACACCUGCCUUUUAAGAUGUGAAUUCUUGGGGUUGAGCUGAGGUUCUCAUGUUUUACUGACUGGGCCAUCUCCCCAGCCUGAUUUGCACACGUCCUCUGGGUAUGAGUCCUUGUACUACAAGUAUUUCCCCUGUAUGUACCUUAUAUUUUUUCAUGUUCUUAUAGUUCUUAUUAUUUUAACAAACACUUUUGGAAUGAUUUUAGACUUAAAAAAACAUUUUAAAGACAGGUCAGAAAGUUCUUGCACACCUACCUCAGCCGGCUCCCUCUGUUGUUUGUAUAACUAUAUUCUCUAAACAAGAAAUCUGUUUAUUUUUUUGAUGUUCUGAAUAAAAUUUCUGUUAUUAUGGUUUCUAAUCAGUCCGUGAUUAUUUUAGUACAGCUGUUUCUGAUAAUUAGCUGCCCCUUGGCCCUUGUUUGUAAACUCCAACUCUUGAGAAGAAUGGGAGAGUAAGCUCACAGGCCAAGGCUGGCCUGAGCUAUGCUGCCUACCAUCUUAUCAAACCCUGGGCUCUGGUUACGUUUGUUCUGUGGUAGGGUCUCUGUGUAGCCCUGGCUGGCCUGAAGCUCAUCAUGUAGACCAGGCUGACCUCGAACUAGAGUCAAUUCUUCCACCUUAGACUUCUGUGUGCUGCAAGGAUUGCAGGCACGAGUCGCUACCAUGCCUGGUUAAAUCCUGGAUUUUCCAGUAAGAUACUAGCAUUGAUUAUCUGUGACGUUUUAAAAAACUUUUCUCUAAAAUUUAAAAUUUUGAUGAUGAUCAUGAAUUUGCAUACUUUUUCACACCUAGGCUUUGUGUUUAUAUAUCUGUGAGUAUAUGUGCAUGUGUGUGCACAUGUGUACACACGUGUACAGAGGCCAGAAGAGGGUGUUGGCUCCUGUUGUCUGUGACUAUCUCUGAGCUGAACAGCUGCUGUCUUGGUGAAUUCAGCUGUGGGAGUCUUGCAAAAGAUCAUCCCAGCUGAGCUUGUUGACUGUUUAUGUUUCCUCACAGAAGAGCAGAGAGAGUCACCAGACCCUCACCUGAGCAGCCAGUUGCUCCUAUCACCUGUUGUAUGCAACUCUGCCCUGAUUGCACAUGGCCUCUGGGAGGGACUAGAGUUUCCAUCUAUGAGGCUAUGGGAGAGCCAUCAUCCAUUCUGGGUAAAGACUUUGUGGUGUUGUCUUUUCAGGAAGACUCACCCACACUGCUCACCAGUGCUCAGAAAGCCUAAUAAGCAAUUUGGUUCUCCUGAGUGAACUAUGGUGGAACUGUGCCUCAGUCUGUUGUUGGGACCUUGGUAGAAGGGUAGACCUUAUUUAUGUCCCCCUUAAGGAAGAGAUCUUAGGAACACCUCCCUUAGAGCUCAACUUAAAGGCAUUUGUGGGACACUUGGCGUUGCUCUUACCUAUUUGAGCUAUCACUUCUGACCAUGCCUGUGCUUUUAUAGUCAUUUAUUUAAGAAAUAGCCCAAGUGCUGGAAAGUUAGCACAGUGUUUAAGAGCACUGGCUGCCCUUGCAGAGGACUUGGGUAAGAGUCCCAGCAACCACAUGGCUGUUAUGGCAGCUCAUAACAUCUGUCACUCAGCUCCAGGGGGUCCGACACUCUGACCUUUCCAGGCCCCAGGCACACAUGGGUUACAUGUACACACAUGGAGACAAAACACCCACACAUGUUAAAUAAUAAAAUAAAUAUAAGAAAUAAUCCAAGGUCUUGAAGAUGUACAGUUGUGUUCCCCAUUUCCCCAUCCCCCCAAAGUUGCAUAGUUUAGAUCUUUAAGUCUUUUUUUUUUUUUUAAGAUUUAUUUAUUUAUUUAUUACAUGUAAGUACAUUGUAGCUGUCUUCAGAUGCACCAGAAGAGGGUAUCAGAUCUCAUUACAGAUGGUUGUGAGCCACCAUGUGGUUGCUGGGAUUUGAACUUCGGACCUUCGGAAGAGCAGUCGGGUGCUCUUACCCACUGAGCCAUCUCACCAGCUCCUAGAUCUUUAAGUCUUUGAGUUGAUUUAUGUAUGGUAUGAGGUAGGGGACAAACCUUCAUUUUUUUUAAUGUGACCAUACAUCUUUCCCAAUGUCAUUUGUUGAAAAGCCCCUAGUUUUAAUUUUUUUCUUUUUUGAGACUGGGUCUCUCUCAUAUUGCAGUCCAGGUUAAUCUCUAAAUUAUUUUGAGAUUUGAGUGUCAUGGAAUUACAAUGUGUCCCAGACUGGUUGAGAUUUUGGCAGUCUUCCUGCCACAGUCUUCCAAGUGGUAGGAUUAUGGCUGUGGCCCUCUAUGCUAGCUAAAGAAAAAUUAUUGGCAUUUAUUUGUAUUGAGAUUAGGCCUGGAAUUCACUAUGAGAAUAAUUAGUUUGGAAACUGCAUUUAUAUUAUAUUCUUGUAAUUUCUUUUGCUUCAAAUUAUUUGAAUUUUUUCAUAGUAAUUGGGUUUUUUAUUUGGUUGUGUCUUUUAUUUUUAUUUUUGAAAUAGGGUCUCACCAUGUAAUUUUGGCUGGCCUGGAACUUGCUUUGUAGAUCAUGUUGGCUUUGAACUCAGAGAUUCACUUGCUUUUGGUUCCCCAAGUGAGUGUUGGAAUGAAGUGGGUGUACUGUAAGGCCACUCUUAGCAUUGAUUCUUGUUUCAGAUUCUAUAGGCUAAACUUUGGUUAGCUGGAGCAUACUGGAAAUUACACGUUUGAUAGCAUGUUCCUAUGCUUUUUAAAGACCAAGAGAACUUAGGUGAGCAUAAGCCAAGUAAAAACGUUGGUAAUAAUAUUGAAGAGUUUACAUCCUUGGCUUUCUUUGGGAGUGUGUUAGUGUCAGGAGUGCAGCUGUGAGGGACACCAGCCUCUGAUGUUGAAAGCUGUCUCGGAUUUAAGCCAGCUUGCUGUGUGUCAGGUGUUGCAGCUUUGGAAUCAGGUGCGUGCAAUCUGAAAAUAGAAACUGAAUGGCUUGCUAGGAAUGUGGGAACGGUAACAAGGAUAGGACAAACUGUAGUAUAGCUUAGGGCUUGGUGCAUUCAAAAAAGUGAACAUCUUCCUUUAGGAAUUAUAACAAAAGAAAAAAAAAACGGGUGUGGUGGCGCACACCUUUAAUCUCAGCAGAGGGAUUUAAUCAGGAGGCAGAGGCAGGUGGAUUUCUGAGUUCAAGGCCAGCCUGGUCUACAAAGUGAGUUCCAGGACAGCCAGAGCAAUACAGAGAAAACCUGUCUCGAAAAUCCAAAAAAAAAAACCAAAAAAAAAAAAAACCCAACAAAAAAAGGAAUUAUAACAAGCCAAGCAGUGGUGGCACAGGCCUUUAAUCCCAGCAGGUGGGAGGCAGAGGCAGGCGGAUUUCUGAGGCCAGCCUGCUCUACAGAGUGAGUUCCAGGACAGCCAGGGCUGUACAGAGAAACCCUGUCUUGAAACAAAACAAAACAAAACAAAACAAAAUAGGAAUUAUAACAAGACAAAAUUACAUGGAACAAGAGAUCAGGUGACAAAUUAAUGUAACUGUUCUCAAGAGCUAGAAUUUAUUUUCAGUUGGAAAAUCCCAGUUCCCGGCAGAUUGGUCAUCUUAAAAAAUGUUUGAGUAAAGUUACUGAAUGAACAUUUUGGAGCAGUGAAGUAACAUGUAACGAGUAGUGUUUUUAAAGGAUUUGUUUGCUAUUAUUAUGUUGGGUGCAUUGACUAGAGGAAGAGAGAUAAGAUGUGUAGCUGGAAGGCUGGGGUGUAGCAGGCAUUAGAAACUAGAUCCAUUUCCUAGCACAAAAUCAAGUAGAAUGACCAGCUGCUAUGCCAGGGAUAAGAGGACAGUCCUUUUCAUGUUGCUCUCAGGCUACACUCUAGUGUGAGCACAGUAGGAAGGCAAGCAAGGGGGCUGGGAUAGCGGAAGGAAAAAAGCUUACUUUUAUGCAUUUAUACCCUGAGGUAAAAUUAUGAGAUAAUCAAACUGUUAAUAAAUGUGAACAAUUAGAGUGCAGAUCAAAUACUUGGUUUUGAAGUCAGUCAGCCAACUGCAGCAAGGUAGCUAAAUGCCUCCUGGUUCUAGCAUCAAAACAUGUGGAGGCAUGAAGAUCACCAGUUCAAGGCAAGUUUUUGAGCGCUUGCAGAGAGGAAAUAAGAAUCAGCUGGAUCCUCAGGCAUCACAAGAUAGCCUUUUAGAAGUACUCGAAACAUCAUCGAGUUUUUAAAGAGUUUCUUCACUAGGGCUUCCAUUGUUUUCUUAUAGGCCAUAGGGUUGUGGUGACCAAAACAACUUGGGGAGGAAAGUGUUUAUUUAUCUUACAGCUUGUAGUUCAUCAUCCAGGGAAGUCAGGGCAGGAACCGACGCAGAGAUCAUGGAAGAAUAUUGCUUACUGGUGUGCUCCCGGCACGUUCGCACGCUUUCCCAUAGCACCCAGGAUGGGCAGCCCAGAGUGGGCCAGCACUGCCCACAGUGAGCUGGGCCCUCCCAUAUCAACACAGCUGUGUGAAUGUAUGCCACUCAUGUGUGGAUGCCCACGGAGGCCAGAAGAGUGUGUCGGAUUACCAGGCUCUCUGGAGGUAAUGGUGGUUGUGAGCCACCAGACCUGGGAACUGGGAGUUGAACUCAGGUCCUCUGGAGGAGCAGCAAGUGUUUCUAAUCACCAAGUCAUCCCUCCAGCAUCUUCACUGAGUUUGUAAAGUUUAUUCCUCUAUUGCCAAUCCUACUGUUCUAAGCUUCUGAGUAGUGCAAGAUAAAGACGCACAGUAUUCUUUAUUUAUAGCACAUACAGUGACUCUUGUAUUGAAGGGGCAGCACAGUAAAGUGGUUGGAAGCACAGGCCCAGGCUGUGGCGCUUGACGUGACUCCUGAUUCUACUACUUGGGUGUUUGGGCCGUUCGCCUAACCUCCUUGUGCUCUAGUUUCCUUGCAGUUGAAGUGAGGGCAAUAACUCCAAAACGAUGCCGUGCUUAUGAGCGGUAACUGAGUUAAUGUGUGUGAAGUGCUCAGAACACUGUCUGGCACAAAGCAAGUACUUACACGUGUUUCAUAAAAUAAAAUAAAAUAAAAUAAAAUAAAAUAAAAUCUCAUUGAAUUUUCUUGACAACUAAGGUUGUGAUAAUCCUUGUUGGCUCUGUUACUCACUUUUACGCUUCCAACCAUGCUCACUUUCUCUCCUAUUAACAGCUGACUUAAUCACCAGCUGACUUAGUCAUCUACUUCUGCCUAUUUCCUUCUCCCCAAAGAUAUUCAGUAAUUGUCCUCUGACGCUCAGACUGUCUGUGAUACCAUUCCUCAUUUCUUCCUCUCUCUAUGCUGGCACCACUGUUCUCAGAACACCAAACCAAUGGUUCUUGAUUUCUGCCUCUUGUGCCCUGCCUUCUCCUUCUGAUGUUAAAGUGUCUCUAGUCACUUCUUUGUUGUUGUUUGGUUAGUGCUGGGCAUUGAACCCACGGCCAUAUGCAUGUUAGGUUCUAUGACUGAGGCUAUAGCUCUAGCCCUAAUGUUUAUCCUUUAAAAAUUAAAAAUAGCUGCCAGAACCUUCUCUUAGCUUCACCUCUCUUUGAAACUACUGAUGUACUGAUUUUUCUCCUCAUCUUUGAGUGGCACACCCUCCCCAUUCUGCUUUCCUGCCAUUUUAUGGAAACUGUUCCUUAUCCUUCGGGUUACUUUGUACGAUUUUCUUGACCUUUGCCCUUUAUUUUAUCCUUUGGUUUGCAAAGCAAAGCUUUGUUUUUUAGAUCGCACUCAUACCCUGUGCAUCAACCUACUGCUGUGUCUUCUACUCCAGUCCCAUGGCUCCCUUCCCCUAGAUUCCGUCUGCAAUCUCACUUCCAUCCUUUCUUCAUUUGUAACCAUACUCACUCCAUGACCUCAUCUGUCUUUUGUGUACUAAUGAUGCCCAGGUCCUUUGCCCUUGACCUUUCUAGGCUGAUGCUUUGCCUGCCCCAGAAGGAUUUUCUAGCUGCAUACAAGACAUCUCGAUCCAGAUGUCCUUCCUGUUUGGUUUAUCUUGGUACUCAUAUUUCCAGAGCAAAACCAUUCUUAUCACAAUCUAAUUGCUCUUCUAUCUGUAUUUUCUUCUUGAAAAAAUACCAUUAGCCAUUCUCAUUCGAGGCAUUUGACAGUUCUAGGGUUGAUUCCUGAAUAACUGCAUAGAAACCAUCUGGGUGAAUGGGGCCACGUGCUGACCAUAAACCCUUGAGCCUUCGCCCUCUGAGUGCUUGAUUCAGAAGGUCUGGGUAGCAUUAGGAAUCCUCUAUUUUUCUAAAUUUGGGACUGCUGAUGAAAACUGAAAUUUGUUCCCUGUCAUAGUUUAGAUCUAAAAUAGUCUCCCAAAGCUUUAUGUGGUGAAGGCAUGGUUCUCAAUUUAGCAAUACCCAGUGUGUGUGUGUGUUUGGGUGUGUUGAUGGUAGUAUGGUACAUGCUGCCUUGGGCAUGUAUGAAGUUAGAUGAUAGUUCAUGGGAGUGGUUCUUUUCCUUCACCAUGUGGAUCCUGGGCAUAAAACUAAGGUUGUCAGGUUUAGAAGUAACUUUCUGAGCCAUGGCACCAACCCAGAAUUCUUAUUAAAGUAUAGGUGCCAGGGUCUAGAUCUGGAAACUUAACUUAGCAGAUGCAGAGGGGAGUUGGGGCUUUUGCAUUUGCGCCUGACAUCCUAGGUUAUUUUGGCUCUGCUUGUUGACACCAGUGUCACGCAGAGUCAAAGACUGACUCCUUCAGGGCACCAGAACUCUUUUGAGCCUCCAACUAGUUUCUCUCCUCUCCUCCAGCCGUGUCCACACCCUCCUUGGUUGCUGCUCGGGCACUCUUUGUGCUGCCUUCUGUGCCUGGACCAUCCCUCUGUGCUCAGUACUUAGUAACUCUGCCUAAUCCCGUGAGGCUCGGGUUUCACUUUUUCUGUGACGUCUAUCCUGCCCGAAGGUCUUCCUUCUCAUAGCAUAUUGUUCUUGCUGCUAGGUCAGCAAGUACACAUGAUACUGUCUUACAGAAUUUCAUACUUGACUUUGCCCAUGCCAGUCUGAGUCUCUGAUGGCAGGAAUUCUUUCUCACUCAUUUUUUCCCCUCAGUGUACCAUGUGGAUGCGUGAAUCAGUUCAGCGAGGUUCUGUAAGGUGAACAUUUUCAGCACUAGAAAGAGCAGAAAACAGAAGACCGACCUUUGGUGAAUUUAUAUAUUUAAAAUAAGGAAAAAAAAAAAACAACCAAAGAAGUGACGAGAGGCUGGGGGUAGCUGAGGAAUUAGUUUGUAUAUCCUGAAUGCUAAGGAAAAA